ACACGACUACAUUAGAUACCCGUGUAGUCCCAGCCCUAAACGAUGCGCGUUAGGUGUAUCGGUGACCACGAGUCACCGAGGUGCCGAAGGGAAACCGUGAAACGUGCCGUCUGGGAAGUACGGUCGCAAGGCUGAAACUUAAAGGAAUUGGCGGGGGAGCACAACAACGGGUGGAGCUUGCGGUUUAAUUGGAUUCAACGCCGGAAAUCUUACCGGGACCGACAGCAACAUGAAGGCCAAGCUGAAGACUUUGCCGGAUUAGCUG
rnacentral:rRNA from 1 species